rnacentral:rRNA from 1 species
AACGAACGCUGGCGGCAGGCCUAACACAUGCAAGUCGAACGUGAAGCCACCUUCGGGUGGUGGAAAGUGGCAGACGGGUGAGUAACGCGUGGGAACGUGCCUUUCGGUUCGGAAUAACCCAGGGAAACUUGGGCUAAUACCGGAUACGCCCUUCGGGGGAAAGAUUCAUCGCCGAAAGAUCGGCCCGCGUCGGAUUAGCUAGUUGGUAGGGUAAUGGCCUACCAAGGCGACGAUCCGUAGCUGGUCUGAGAGGAUGACCAGCCACACUGGGACUGAGACACGGCCCAGACUCCUACGGGAGGCAGCAGUGGGGAAUAUUGGACAAUGGGCGAAAGCCUGAUCCAGCCAUGCCGCGUGGGUGAAGAAGGCCUUAGGGUUGUAAACCCCUUUCAGCGGGGAAGAUAAUGACGGUACCCGCAGAAGAAGCCCCGGCUAACUCCGUGCCAGCCGCCGCAGUAAAAC